rnacentral:misc_RNA from 1 species
AAAAUAAAUGUGCAAACCAGGUGUAAGAAACAUGUUGGUCAGAAGCACGCUGGACAGGGAAGGUCAUCGGCAAGCGGCACAGCCGGAAAAAUCACCGGGAAAAGGGUGCAUGCGUCGUCGCAUGAGGAACGGCGCAAAACUUCUGGAAGCACGUGAGCUCAUGUGCUUCACUAGACAGCGGCGCAACUCCGGGUUUAGGCCGACUUGCUGAUUUCCUUCCUCCUUAGGUGGGUGGUG